rnacentral:rRNA from 1 species
GGGGAAUAUUGCACAAUGGGGGAAACCCUGAUGCAGCGACGCCGCGUGGAGGAAGAAGGUCUUCGGAUUGUAAACUCCUGUUGUUGAGGAAGAUAAUGACGGUACUCAACAAGGAAGUGACGGCUAACUACGUGCCAGCAGCCGCGGUAAAACGUAGGUCACAAGCGUUGUCCGGAAUUACUGGGUGUAAAGGGAGCGCAGGCGGGAAGACAAGUUGGAAGUGAAAUCUAUGGGCUCAACCCAUAAACUGCUUUCAAAACUGUUUUUCUUGAGUAGUGCAGAGGUAGGCGGAAUUCCCGGUGUAGCGGUGGAAUGCGUAGAUAUCGGGAGGAACACCAGUGGCGAAGGCGGCCUACUGGGCACCAACUGACGCUGAGGCUCGAAAGUGUGGGUAGCAAACAGGAUUAGAUACCCUGGUAGUCCACACCGUAAACGAUGAUUACUAGGUGUUGGAGGAUUGACCCCUUCAGUGCCGCAGUUAACACAAUAAGUAAUCCACCUGGGGAGUACGACCGCAAGGUUGAAACUCAAAGGAAUUGACGGGGGCCCGCACAAGCAGUGGAGUAUGUGGUUUAAUUCGACGCAACGCGAAGAACCUUACCAAGUCUUGACAUCCCUUGACGAACAUAGAAAUAUGUUUUCUCUUCGGAGCAAGGAGACAGGUGGUGCAUGGUUGUCGUCAGCUCGUGUCGUGAGAUGUUGGGUUAAGUCCCGCAACGAGCGCAACCCUUAUGGUCAGUUACUACGCAAGAGGACUCUGGCCAGACUGCCGUUGACAAAACGGAGGAAGGUGGGG